rnacentral:lncRNA from 10 species
CACCUGUAAUCCCAGCACUUUGGGAGGCCUAGGUGAGUGGACCACCUGAGCCAGGCUGGUCUUGAAUUCCUGGCCUCAAGUGAUCCACCUGCCUCAGCCAGGUACUACCUCUCUAAGAAAAGAAAAAAGGUAUCCCACAUUAACUGUAACUUUCACUCUCAAGCAGGUGUGAAGCUGAACAGAUUCAGACGGAGCUGAGAGGCAAGCAUGACUCAGGGUGCAGAUAGGACACGGGAGUUUGUGCCCAGGAACAACGCUGGCACACACCACAGGAUGAUGUGCAGACAGGAAAAUGAGAGGACUUACUGCUUAGGAAUCCUACUAGGAAUGCCUCAAAUCUCAGCUAAGAACCAGAUUAAGAACUAUUUUUUAGCUAUUAAUGCACAGAAUCCAUUGACAUAUCCCUGAGAUGUUUGGCUUCAGGAUUAAAAUGCUGUCUUAAAGC